GUCCUAUGCGCGGUGCUUGCGUCACAUGCUGAAACCUAUUUAAACAGGCACUUCUACGUUCUUGUCCCCAUUGUGAACAAGGCUUCCGUAUGGAAGUCGAAAGGUCCUGUUUACGAAGCUG
rnacentral:lncRNA from 1 species